rnacentral:SRP_RNA from 1 species
CGGCAAGUCUUAUACGACCAGCUCCUGCUACUCCUCCAGGGCGGGAACGCAGCAAAGGUACGCGGUUGUAGCGGUGCGAUAUAAGUAACUUGCCAUUU